rnacentral:miRNA from 1 species
GUGUGUGUGUGUGUGUGUGUGUGUGUGUGUGUGCGCACGUGCACGCACAUGCACACACGCACUC